rnacentral:rRNA from 1 species
UACGAACUGUGCAAACGUUAUUCGGAAUCACUGGGCUUAAAGGGUGCGUAGGCGGCUUAUCAAGUAGGGUGUGAAAGCCCCCGCUUAACCGGGGAAUUGCGCCCUAAACUGACGAGCUGGAGUGGGACAGGGGUGUGUGGAACUUCCGGGUGGAGCGGUGAAAUGUGUUGAUAUCGGAAGGAACGCCGGUGGCGAAAGCGACGCACUGGGUCUCAACUGACGCUGGAGGCACGAAAGCCAGGGGAGCGAACGGG